rnacentral:rRNA from 1 species
UUUUGGAGAGUUUGAUCCUGGCUCAGGAUGAACGCUGGCGGCGUGCUUAACACAUGCAAGUCGAACGGCCCUUCGGGGCAGUGGCAGACGGGUGAGUAACGCGUUGGUACUUACCCCAAAGUGGGGAAUAACCUGCCGAAAGGUGGGCUAAUACCGCAUAGUAUCGUAAGAUUAAAGCCUUCGGGCGCUUUGGGAUAGGCCUGCGACUUAUCAGCUAGUUGGUGAGGUAACUGCUCACCAAGGCUAAGACGAGUAGCUGGUUUGAGAGGAUGAUCAGCCACACUGGGACUGAGACCCGGCCCAGACUCCUACGGGAGGCAGCAGUGAGGAAUUUUCCGCAAUGGACGAAAGUCUGACGGAGCGACGCCGCGUGAGGGAUGACGGCCUUCGGGUUGUAAACCUCUUUU